CCUCUGCCUGCUCGGAUGGUUCAGCCAACAAAAGGGAAGUUGGUGUGGUUUUUGGACAAAUCAGCUGCCUCAAAACUUGAUGGUUAUCAAUUUUCUGAGUAGGGUCAAAUUUUCAUAGCCAAUGAAUGUGUAUGUUUUGUAUGUAGCAGAGGGAUUCAACACCCUUGGAUCCUUUUCUCUUCUUCCAUCAGUUCCAAACUUUCCUUUCUUUUUUCUCCCUUUGGCUUUGGGUUAAAUUCUCCAUUUUGGCUUUUGAUCCUCUCUUCUUUAGAGGAGUUGGGGAAGUGUGAUUAUCCUUUUGUGUGAAGAAUAAAGUUGGGGCCUCGGUGCAAAAGCUGUUUUCUGGUACUGUUCACUUUGAGGAUUGUUUUUGAAACUUGGAUAGUAGUCUCAUGGGAGGUCAGCCCAUCGGAAUAUGGAAAACAGCCCUCCUUUUUUUGGCUUUAUUAGUAGCAUGGAAUUUAGUAGGACUUCUCUGCAAACGACUUCAUACAUGUACUCUAUUAGAAUAUACAAAUUUACAGAAAGUUUCUUCCAAUAGUUGUUUGCAUGGCAAUUGGCAUGCAUAUUAUCCAUUUAUCAUUGCAAAAUCAAAUUGUGAGGUUUAUGCCUCUGACCUCUGAUCUAUGGGUGCCCAGUGCUUUGUCAUGAACACUUUGAUUUACGUAUUUUUAUUGUAAUGGGGAUGGAACAAAACACGUAAAUCAAAGUGUUCAUGACAAAGCACUGGGCACCCAUAGAUCAGAGGUCAGAGGCAUAAACCUCACAAUUUGAUUUUGCAAUGACAAAUGGAUAAUAUGCAUGCCAAUUGCCAUGCAAACAACUAUUGGAAGAAACUUUCUGUAAAUUUGUAUAUUCUAAUAGAGUACAUGUAUGAAGUCGUUUGCAGAGAAGUCCUACUAAAUUCCAUGCUACUAAUAAAGCCAAAAAAAGGAGGGCUGUUUUCCAUAUUCCGAUGGGCUGACCUCCCAUGAGACUACUAUCCAAGUUUCAAAAACAAUCCUCA
rnacentral:misc_RNA from 1 species